rnacentral:misc_RNA from 1 species
UCCAUCUUGGAGACUACGUGCAGCU